UGGGGAAUUUUGGACAAUGGGCGAAAGCCUGAUCCAGCAAUGCCGCGUGUGCGAAGAAGGCCUUCGGGUUGUAAAGCACUUUUGUCCGGAAAGAAAUCCGCCUGGCUAAUACCCGGGCGGGAUGACGGUACCGGAAGAAUAAGCACCGGCUAACUACGUGCCAGCAGCCGCGGUAAUACGUAGGGUGCGAGCGUUAAUCGGAAUUACUGGGCGUAAAGCGUGCGCAGGCGGCUUUGUAAGACAGAUGUGAAAUCCCCGGGCUCAACCUGGGAACUGCAUUUGUGACUGCAAGGCUAGAGUGCGUCAGAGGGAGGUGGAAUUCCGCGUGUAGCAGUGAAAUGCGUAGAGAUGCGGAGGAACACCGAUGGCGAAGGCAGCCUCCUGGGAUGACACUGACGCUCAUGCACGAAAGCGUGGGGAGCAAACA
rnacentral:rRNA from 1 species